rnacentral:rRNA from 1 species
UAGCCACGGAAUACCCGCUCUCCGAGUGGUGGGGACGCUUAUUGGGCCUAAAGCAUCCGUAGCUGGCUGGGCAAGUCCCCCUGUUAAAUCCAGCGAUUUAAUCGUUGGACUGCGGGGGAUACUGUCCGGCUAGGGGGCGGGAGAGGCCGACGGUAUUUCCGGGGUAGGGGUGAAAUCCUAUAAUCCCGGGAGGACCACCAGUGGCGAAGGC